rnacentral:lncRNA from 10 species
GGUGUUGUUCUCAGAGUCCUCUGGGUCGCAACCCCAGCAACCCCAGCAGUACCAGAUCUUGCAUCCCCACCUGGUUUCCUUGCCCGCUGUGCAGUGGAAAGGGCGCACCUGUUUGAAAGGAGCGGCUGUGCUUGCAGAGGUGCGCUGACCCAGGAUACUGGUGGCCUUUCCAGCACCCGCCUGUCUGGCAGCUACCGCCCCACGCUCCUAUCCCUGCUUAGUGGAGCCCCGCUGCUACCGCGUCCUGUUCUGACCUCUGCCAGCCCGCGCCCCGCUCCCCUCCGCGUCCUGCUGCCCGCGUUCUGUACCUGCCCGCGCCCCGCUCCUACGCGUGCGCCACUCCUAUCCGUGCCCCGCUCCUAGCUAAGCCCGGCCCGUGCCCACUCCCACCCGCCGCCUUGCGCUGCCCCUUCCGGCUCCUCCCCAGCAGCCGGCACCCGCCUGGCCCAACAGUGACAGAGCAGGGCGCGCAGCCGCUGAGUGCUCUGGAGUCCCUGCCCCGAGGUGCCACGCCCACGUCGGCCUCACCCGGGCAGGCAUGGGGCGGUCGGGCUUAGCGCCGCACCCCGCCGGCCAGAGCCACCGUCUCUCCAGACGCGGCCCCAGCGCCCACUGGGGAUGGCAAAGACGACAUCCGGUGCGCCGAGGCUGCUCACAAAAUCUUCCCACACAGGUUGAGAGAGGAGGGGAUCCAAUUGCCUGUGAGGAGGACACGGCUCCUGGGUGGACCCUGCAGAUUGUGAAGUUCAAGUCACAGCUCCUGGGAAGGUCUCUGUGUGUAAAGAUCGUGGGGGUGAGACAGAUUCAGGGACCACACUCUGCUCUGCUCUGUACCUCUGAGUGUCGAUCCAGCUGCCUUGUGACCAGGACACUUAGAAGAAGCAUGGACCCUGCAAGAGGAUGGGCUCAAGGACAGCUUGCCUGACUGCAGCCAUAAGGAUGAAGCCUCUUCAGGUAGAGAAGGACUCCAGGUGGGGCCUGUGCAGAGGGUUCUUACGGGCGCAGUAGGAUUGGGGCUAUAAAAUCAGUAAAUGGAAAAGGAGCCAGGUGCAGAAGUCUGAUUUAUUCCUUUUUUUUUUCUUUUUCUUUUUGGAGACAGGGUCUUACUCUGUCACCCAGGCUAGAGUGCAGUCAGUGUGCCACUGUGGCUCAACCUCCGUCUCCUGGGCUCAAUCAAUCGUUCCACCUCAGCCUCCAGAAAGUAGCUGAGAAUACAGAAUCAUUGAGAUGCUAGUGGGAUUCUUGUUAGGCUUGAAUAGUUUACAUUUCCAGGGUCAUCCCAGGCUUUGGUCAUCAUCAUCUCUCACAGAUCCCAACACAACCCAGGCCUGUGGCCAUGUCCCUGACCUAGGGUGGGAUCCAUGGAUUUACUGGAAGGACUGGCAGUGCCCUUCUUUCCAAUGUUGUUCUAUUGGAGACCAGUAGCACUGGUGGAGGUUGACAUGGAGAAAGGAAACGGGCAUCAAUCAGGAGAACAAAAUCAGGCCCUAACGGUUAGAGCAGAGAGGGAAGUCUGUGCCAGGCACAGAGCAUCAUGGAGACAGUGGCCGCCUCCUGGGGAAAGGGGAUGACACGGGCCUCCCCUCCCUGGGGAAUUUGAGGGUUAUGGAAUUUGAAGGCUGGGAAAGCAUGUGGGAAAUCAGAGGCCCCUCCCUCGCUGUAGGGAGGAAGUGAUCCAGGCUGUGGAGAGGACUCUAGAGAUGAGCACACUAGAGCCUCUGGGGUUGGCGUCACAGCCCCAGGACAGCGGGGCCCAAAUGGCCCCUCGACUCUAACUCUCCCCUUUCCUUCCCAUGGCUGCCCCAUCACCGCUGCUGCUCUGGACACCCUGAAGGUCAUUUGGCCAAUUUAAUGCCGACAGAAGAGGCCACCAUCUGAAUGUAAUUUAUCUCCUCUUUCAUCUCCUUUCAUUCCCCUCCUCCUUUUUUUUUUUUUUUUGGGACAGAGUCUCACUCUGUUGCCCAGGCUGGAGUGCAGUGGCGUGAUCUUGGCUCACUGCAAGCUCUGCCUCCCAGGUUCACGCCAUUCUCCUGCCUCAGCCUCCUGAGUAGCUGGGACUACAGGCACCCGCCACCACGCCCAGCUAAUUUUUUGUGUUUUUAGUAGAGACGAGGUUUAGCGUGUCUAUGUGACACCCCAGGAUUUUAGCAGAUACACAAGUGAAAAACCAUGUUGCUAAAAAGUAUUUCCCAUCUUCCAAUUUUCUUAUCAUCAUCUUGGAAAUAAAAUCUGUACGUACUUGGGAAUAAAAUUUAUUGAAUUAUCAAAAAUAUGUAUGCUAAUGUAUGUGAGUCAUUAGCUAUAUCCACAUUGACAUAAAAUUUGUGAAGACUCUUCAAAAUCUCUUAAAGAUUUAUUUGGCUGGGCGCGGUGGCUCACGCCUGUAAUCCCAGCAGUUUGGGAGGCUGAGGCAGGCGGAUCAUGAGGUCAGGAGAUGGAGACCAUCCUGGCUAACACGGUGAAACCCCGUCUCUACUAAAAAUACAAAAAACUAGCUGGGCGUGGUGGCGCGCGCCUGUAGUCCCAGCUACUCGGGAGGCUGAGGCAGGAGAAUGGCGUGAACCCGGGAGGCGGAGCUCGGAGUGAGCCGAGAUCACGCCACUGCACUCCAGCCUGGGUGACAGAGCGAGGACUCUGUCUCAAAAAAAGGAAAAAUAAAAACACGAGAACGUACUGCAGGAGAAAACAGGCCUGGCCUGAGACGGCUGUGCCGGCUUUCUGAGGCCGUGAAUGGCAAGACCUCGAGACUGUCAAGAGGAGCAAGAGGAGUCGGGAUUUAGCGUCAGUGAUGAGGUGCGCCACUCACUGUGUGACUUCAGAGUGUUUCUGGGGAAAGAAAAUGAAGUCCUGUGAAGUAUGCGGAGCACCCUCAGCAGCAGCCGUGGAUCUGAACAGCCUCCCAGACACAGACGCCAUGGGUGUGAAGUGUGUCAGGAACAAGCGAAGUCACCCACAAUGGAGAGGAACACCCUAGUGUGCUAGAACUUUUGAACCACUUUUCCUCCUGUCUUGGGUCAGGCCUCAUAGCUAACCCUUUGGUGCGCGGUACUCUCUCUGGCUAUUGGAGAGAUGUGAGAAGCUUAAGAAAAGCAAAUGAGAAGACGUGGAGCAGGCAGAUGGCCGGUCCCCAUGGAAGAGUCCCCAUUGUGAGGCCUCCCUGGGGAUCUGGCGGUGGCCACAACACACUGGCCGGUGAGAUUGGUUGUGAUUGUCAUUGUUGUGGAAAAUGAUUAUCAUCUGUCCUCAAUGGUGCCAAUGCUGACUCACCUGGAGGUGGAAUGAUGGCCAUGGUGACACUGAGGAGGGAGCGUGGCAGAGGGAAUGAUGGCCGUGGUGACACUGAGGAGGGAGCGUGGCAGAGGGAAUGAUGGCCGUGGUGACACUGAGGAGGGAGCGUGGCAGAGGGAACGAUGGCCAUGGCUGACAUUGAGGAAGGAGCUGGCAGAGGGAAUGAUGGCCGUGGUGACACUGAAGAGGGAGCGUGGCAGAGGGAAUGAUGGCCAUGGUGAAACUGAGGAGGGAGCGUGGCAGAGGGAAUGAUGGCCGUGGUGAUAUUGAGGAGGGAGCGUGGCAGAGGGAACGAUGGCCAUGGUGACACUGAGGAGGGAGCGUGGCAGAGGGAACGAUGGCCAUGGUGACACUGAGGAGGGAGCGUGGCAGAGGGAACGAUGGCCAUGGUGACACUGAGGAGGGAGCGUGGCAGAGGGAACGAUGGCCAUGGUGACACUGAGGAGGGAGCGUGGCAGAGGGAACGAUGGCCAUGGCUGACAUUGAGGAGGGAGCUGGCAGAGGGAACGAUGGCCAUGGCUGACAUUGAGGAGGGAGCGUGGCAGAAGGAACGAUGGCCAUGGUGACACUGAGGAGGGAGCGUGGCAGAGGGAACGAUGGCCGUGGUGACACUGAGGAGGGAGCGUGGCAGAGGGAACGAUGGCCGUGGUGACACUGAGGAGGGAGCGUGGCAGAGGGAACGAUGGCCGUGGUGACACUGAGGAGGGAGCGUGGCAGAGGGAACGAUGGCCGUGGUGACACUGAGGAGGGAGCGUGGCAGAGGGAACGAUGGCCGUGGUGACACUGAGGAGGGAGCGUGGCAGAGGGAACGAUGGCCGUGGUGACACUGAGGAGGGAGCGUGGCAGAGGGAACGAUGGCCGUGGUGACACUGAGGAGGGAGCGUGGCAGAGGGAACGAUGGCCGUGGUGACACUGAGGAGGGAGCGUGGCAGAGGGAACGAUGGCCGUGGUGACACUGAGGAGGGAGCGUGGCAGAGGGAACGAUGGCCGUGGUGACACUGAGGAGGGAGCGUGGCAGAGGGAACGAUGGCCGUGGCUGACACUGAGGAGGGAGCGUGGCAGAGGGAACGAUGGCCGUGGCUGACACUGAGGAGGGAGCGUGGCAGAGGGAACGAUGGCCAUGGCUGACAUUGAGGAGGGAGCUGGCAGAGGGAACGAUGGCCAUGGCUGACAUUGAGGAGGGAGCUGGCAGAGGGAAUGAUGGCCAUGGUGAUAUUGAGGAGGGAGCGUGGCAGAGGGAAUGAUGGCCAUGGCUGACAUUGAGGAGGGAGUGUGGCAGAGGGAAUGAUGGCCAUGGUGACACUGAGGAGGGAGCGUGGUAGAGGGAAUGAUGGCCAUGGUGACAUUGAGUCAGCACUUAUUAGGUUCCACGUGUACAUGGUCAAGUUUUCCUGUGGUUUUUCUCAGAAAGGAGCCAUGAUCCUGCAACAGUGAAACAGGAAAAGUGCUAACAAAACUGACUCCAUUUUUAUUUAAUGGGCUUUUUCUCAUCCCUGCAUAUAAGCUAGCAUAAUUUUAGAGCGCUAAGAUAAAACGCAAAAGCGGUAAUCAUGUAGUUUUUGCAACUAACUGUGGGAUUAAUGGAAAGUAUGUAAACAGCUAACUGUGGUUUGUUAAAGAUUUAUAGGAGCAUUGUGAUCUGACCAAGGAGAAAGAAGGUCCCAGCCUCCUGGGACCAUUGCUGGCACCUGGAUGUGUGAGGUAGUCAGGUACCUGUUGAUCCCAACCCUCUCCUCUUCCACCCUCCGUUGAACCAGAUAAGCGCUUGUCAGUGCUGUUUUGGGAGUAUUCUGCCCUGUGGUUAAAUAGGUGUGAGUGCUGGAGAGUCCUGCAGCAAUCUGGGGCUUUCUGGUGCUGUGAAGACAGUUACUCUAAAAGUCCUGAUGCCAUCUCUGCACUUGGGUACAGUCGUGUGACUCUGGGUUUAUGACAGAUCCUUCAGCUACCCUACCUGCCACUCCAUAUCUGCUGAGAUUUUCUUUCUUUCUUCUUUUGUUUUUGUUUUUGUUUUGGGACGGAAUCUCGCUCUGUUGCCAGGCUGGAGUGCAGUAGCAUGAUCUCAGCUCACUAUAACCUCUGUCUCCAGGGUUCAAGUGAUUCUCCUGCCUCAGCCUCCCGAGUAGCUGGGAUUACAGGCGCCCACCACCACAUCUAGCUAAUUUUUGUAUUUUUAGUAGACACAGGGUUUCACCACGUUGGCCAGGAUGGGUCUCGAUCUCUUCACCUCAUGAUCCGCCCGCCUCGGCCUCCCAAAGUACUGGGAUUACAGGUGUGAGCCACCGCGCCCAGCUGAGAUUUUCAUAAUGUGUUUGAGACAUGCUGUUUAUUUCUUCUUUUUUUUUUACUUUUAAUUGAAAUAUUGUAUACAUAGCAAAAAGUCAUUCCUGUCAUAAAUGUACAGCUCAAUGAAUUUUCAUGAAAUUUAAUCAUUAACCAGAUUGAAAUGAAAACCACAACAAAACCCAUGACUGGAAGCCAUCCCCGAUAAGUCUUCUGCGGCCAGCUUCCUGUGGUGAGCCUCCCCAUCAAGGGUAACUGCAGCCUCCUUGGAAAUAAAGGAGAUCAGGACUCCUUUUGUGUGAGCUUCAUUUACUCUGUUUUGCGAGAUUGGCCCACGUUGUCGCAUGUGUUUAAGGAUCUGUCCUUCCCGCGGGGACAUAGCGUGCCAGGGCUGAAAUGUCCUAGAAUCUGUUCACAGGUUCUACUGUCAGUGAGGGUUUGGGUGGUUAUGGCUUUGGGAGGUGAUGAAAGUGCUGCUUUCCUGUGAGUGUCUUUGGGGAGCACACACGCUCUUUUCUGCCGGAUAUUCUCCACCCAAGGGGUCGCCGGUCAUCGCAGAUGUGCUUGUCCACUUUCAGCAGCUACUGACAGAGUUUCCCAGGUGGAGCGUGCAACGGAUAUCACGCCAGCUGAGGAAGACAGUUUGGUUGCUCCCCAGCCUCUCCAACAAUUGGUAUUUUCUGAUGUCUUCAUUCUGGCCAUGCUGAGGGAUGCAUUAAAAGCACAUAGAAAGUCCAGAUGCCUCUGGGCAGCUCACAGAUUCUGAAUGUUGGGAGACAAGGACAACUGUCAAUCUCUGUCAGUGCUAGGACUGAUUCUCAGUAUCUGACCCAAAACUAGGAACUGAGGCGAUGGUUUGUGGUAUUCGAUAACGUUGUCAGCAUAUGCCCUAGAAGUGCUCAAAUCCUGGCACAUACACAACCUAGGGACGGGACAAACGUGAACUCGGCAUGGUCGGUUAUAGCUUGCGUCUAGCACCUUGUUUUUGCAACUCUCAUGUCCAGCUGGGGUGGGGCCAUGCACGGGCAGCAUCCCGAUGUCCCACCACCGCCCCGUCCACCCAGCUCCUCCAGAGGAUGAAUUACAGUGGCUUCCUAGUGGCAGGACAGAUGAGGGGUCCCAUCUAAUGCCAGGUUAAGAUUGUCUUUCUUUUUCUGAGGUAGAAGUGGUGCUUUGCUGUUUUAUCAAUUGAGUUCAGUUAUGGAAACGUGGCCACAUACAUUACAGAGGUUAGCGGCUGUUUCCUCAAGGGCUUGGGAAAGAAGUCUCUUACCAAACGAGGCCUGAUUCAGGAGGGCACAUAAGCUGGGUUGUGUCAGGUUCUUCACUGUGCAUAGAGAGCCUUUUCCUCAGUAGCAAUUAUUUCCUCCGUGGGUUAAUAAUUUUGCAACUGCUGAUUGAAAUAAACAUGACAGGCCGGGCGUGGUGGCCUAUAAUCCCAGCACUUGGGAGGCCUAGGCGAGUGGAUCACCUGAGGUCAGGAGUUCAUGACCAGCCUCGUCAAUAUGGCGAAAUCCCAUCUCUACUAAAAAUGCCAAAAUUAGCCAGGCGUCGUGGCACAUGCCUGUAAUCCCAGCUACUUGGGAGGCUGAGGCAAGAGAACUUCUUGAACCCGGGAGGUGGAGGUUGUAGUGAGCCGAGAUUGCACCACUGCACUCCAGUCUGGUUGACGGAGACUCCACCUCAAAAAACAAACAAACAAACAAAAAAAACAAAAAACAAUAGACAUGACAGACACAUUCUCCAGCAAAAGUCUGCCCUAUGACAGGAGUAGGUUUUCUCUACCCUUGCUUUUAGAUUCCUUUGACUUGGCCGGGCACAGUGGCUCACGCCUGUAAUCCCAGCACUUUGAGAGGCCAAGGUGGGCAGAUCAUGAGGCCAGGAGAUAGAGACCAUCCUGACCAACAUGGUGAAACCCCGUCUCUGCUAAAAUACAAAAAAUUAGCUAGGCGUGGUGGCACGUGCCUGUAGUCCCAGCUAUGCAGGAGGCUGAGGCAGAGAAUUCGCUUGAACCUGGGAGGCGUAGGUUGCAGUGAGCCAAGAUCACGCCACUGCACUCCAGCCUGGGGGACAGAGCAAGACUCUGUCUCAAAAAAAAAAAAAAAGAAAAAAGAAAAAAAUAGAUUCCUUUGACUUGACCCCUAUUUAUCCUCUUGUUUUAUAAAGUCAACAGGAAGAAACAAACAAACAAACAACAAAAAAAAAAACCCACCUGUGCUUAGAGAACACAUCGGAACCUAUGGUACUGUAGUGCCUUCUUUUCUGUCACUGUAGGUGGCCUCAGAGGGGAAAAUUCAUGCAUAUUCUGCAUGUGCCACUUGUGAAGGAGAAAUCUAGAUGAUAGGGAAGGUGAGUCUUCCUUGCUGGCUUUCGUCUGGGGAGCCACCCUGACUCCAGCUUUCUGGUUAGAAUGAGGAUUGGUGGUGAUGAAGGAACAUUAUUUUCCAGGUAAAGCACUGUGACCGUGUUUCCACAAGCAGUUGCGUUUCCUUUAGCUGGUAUGAGUUUGUGCGCGUGGGCGGUGGGGUGUGUCUGUGUGGGGUGGGAUUUGUGUGGGGCGGCCGUGUGUCUGUGCCCACGUCUGUUUCCGCUGGUGUUAUACUCCGCCUAGACAGCAGAGUUGCAGGUGUAAGCUUUCUCAACAAGGAAUGCCGUCCCCAUUACUCCACAGCGUAUAUGUGGAGCCUAACCGGGUGGACUGCAAGGCAGUUCCGACCCUCACCACUCAGGGUUAGCACCAGAUUCCACAACUCCAGAGCUGAGUCCCACAAAACUGCCCUUACUUCAGACACCAGCUGAACUUUGGGAGUCCCCAAGCCACCUGCACUUCUGACAAACUGGCUAUAAAUUCAAGGAUUACCAUGACUUCCUCAGGUUCAAAACUUCACUAGAAAUGACUCAGAGAAUUCAGAAAAGGGCUAUAUUUACAAUUUGAUUAGAAAUGAUCUGCAUAGAGCAAGGCGUAUGGGGCUGGGGGGUCCUGGAUGCAUGGCUUCCAUGCCUUCUGUCUGGGGAAUCGGGUGGCGUGCUGGGGGUGGGUUCCAGGUCACAGUUGGAUUCAAAGGUUUCUUGAUUGGCAGUUGGUUGAAAGGGUUAAACUCUGUCUUAAAAGUUGAAAUCAGCUUCAAUUAGGUAACAUGGUGUGGUCGGGGGUGGGAGUUUGGGAAGUUGUGGGAGCCAAGGUUCUUGUCACGUAAAUGACACUUCCAGGCAGAGGGCUUCAGAGAGGAUAGACGUAAACGUCUCUUAUUGGACUUAAAAGGUAACAGACUUUCUGGAAAGACCUAGUGAUGGAGCCAUAUGCUCUACAGAUUGCAAAUUUCCCACAAAGAGACAGCUGUGUUGGGCCAUUCCAAAAAAUGUCAGAGAAAUCUGUCUCGGGGUAAAAUACUCAGACUUCCUUCAGGACCUGCUUUCAGGUGAUGCUAUACCAGAGCGCAUUGGAAGUUGGGUAUCUUAUUGCUACAAGGCGUUUCUUCCGUCAGUCUUAGGAUCUCUAUUUUCAUGUCACUGCUGCUCAGUUGGGUCUGAACCACAAAGGGUGGAGGGAAUACUGAGGCGUGCCCGACCCCUCUUCUCCCUCAUGGCCUGAAUGAAGUUUUCAGGUUUAUUUGGGUCCCCUUGGCUGAGAGGAGGAUCCGUUCAGUUC